CCUACGGGGGGCUGCAGUAGGGAAUCUUCCACAAUGGGCGAAAGCCUGAUGGAGCAACGCCGCGUGGGUGAAGAAGGUCUUCGGAUCGUAAAACCCUGUUGUUAGAGAAGAAAGUGCGUGAGAGUAACUGUUCACGUUUCGACGGUAUCUAACCAGAAAGCCACGGCUAACUACGUGCCAGCAGCCGCGGUAAUACGUAGGUGGCAAGCGUUAUCCGGGUUUAUUGGGCGUAAAGGGAACGCAGGCGGUCUUUUAAGUCUGAUGUGAAAGCCUUCGGCUUAACCGGAGUAGUGCAUUGGAAACAGGGAGACUGGAGUGCAGAAGAGGAGAGUGGAACUCAAUGUGUAGCGGUGAAAUGCGUAGAUAUAUGGAAGAACACCAGUGGCGAAGGCGGCUCUCUGGUCUGUAACUGACGCUGAGGUUCGAAAGCGUGGGUAGCAAACAGGAUUAGAUACCCGAGUAGUC
rnacentral:rRNA from 1 species